rnacentral:rRNA from 1 species
CCUGAGAAACCCGAAAGAUCGAAUGGGGAGAUUCAUCGUCAGCGGGCCUUGGCGCGUGUACGGUUCGCGAUGCUCUGGGGACUUCGGUUCCUCGGCACGCGUCCGUAUGGUACUUUGCCAGGCUUCGUCGGCGUGCACUUCUCCCCUAGUAGGACGUCGCGACCCGUUGGGUGUCGGUUUACGGCCCGGGUGGGCGCCUGUCAUGCGUUUAGCUUAACGGCGACAUGUGGCAGACCCCCGGUUGUCUGACCAGCUGCUCGGCGGUACUCGCAUGGUAUCGAGCCGCAAAUAUUCGAACUGCGUCCGAACUGCCGCAAGCCUGGCCAGUGUUUCCCGGAUGGUACGGAUUUAGCGCCGCCACCGGGCCUGGUCGGCUGUUGGCCGGCGGUUUUCUUGGACAGGCUCUUGAUUUAUGAAUACCGGUCGGCGACGCUACUGCUUUGGGUACUUUCAGGA